UCAAAAAAAGUUCGCUCUCAAUUAUUUCCCUCUAAUUUUUUUGUGCCUAAAUUAAAGCCUUCUUUUCCUAUUAGAGAGAGUAGAUAGCAAAAGUAAAACUGAUGACUAAAACCCUAAACUCUCAAAACAAAGCCAAAGCCGUUCCUGGUAGAAAGGAUCAAUCUAACCAAUUAAAAAAGCAACAAAAAUGGAGAAACUUCUUCGUGCAUAUGGCUCAGAAAAAAAUACUUGUGAAUAUUUUGGUGGUAAAGUAACGGAUGUAAGAAAACAGAAAGCAAUUAGAAUUGAUCAGAAAAGAUGCAAAUGAUUGUGGGGAAGAAGUUAAAAGGGAAACUAAGGAGUAAAUUGAAGAAAUGAAGAAAGAAACGGAUCAUAAGAUAGCAAAGUUGAGUAAACGAUUGAAGAAUUUCAAACAUGGUUGCAACUCAAGGUCGACAAUCAAAUGGUGCAAAUCUAAUCGUAAGUAGCCUAUUUAUAUAUUUUUAAAUUACUAAUCCAGUAAAUCUGUGAGUUUUUUAAAUGUUACUGUAGCUCGUGUAGGAGUGACGGAAGCAUAAAAAUCGAUGGGGGCAUGAGUAAUUAUUUUCUCUUUUAAAUGUAUAUUGAUAUGUUUGAAUAAAGUGAUGUUCCACUAUUUUGAAUGA